rnacentral:piRNA from 1 species
UCCAGUGUGGGUGUAAUCUGGUGU